GACAGAGGGUGCAAACGUUGCUCGGAAUUACUGGGCGUAAAGCGCGUGUAGGCGGUUUGGUAAGUCUGAUGUGAAAGCCCAGGGCUCAACCCUGGAAGGGCAUUGGAUACUGCCGAGCUAGAGUCCUGAAGAGGAGAGCGGAAUUCCCGGUGUAGAGGUGAAAUUCGUAGAUAUCGGGAGGAACAUCAGUGGCGAAGGCGGCUCUCUGGGCAGGAACUGACGCUGAGACGCGAAAGCGUGGGGAGCAAACAGG
rnacentral:rRNA from 1 species